rnacentral:lncRNA from 1 species
UUAAAUUCUCUUUUACGUCUACUUGCACUUGUAAAUUAUGAACUAUGUAUAAUCUAUUAUAGCGACGAUUUUCAUGUUAUUUUUGUGUCCUGGAUCUAUGAGUUUCUUAUUAUUAAACUCCUUUAAUGUUGGUUGGUUUAGGAAAAUUUUAAAAUAGUAAAAGGGGUACUACUAUUUAGGACGCCAACCGCGCGAAAGCCGUUGUCUGUAAAUAUUAUUCCGCUGAUGAAGCGAAUCCAUGAAUAGACUGCAGGAGACUCGCGCGAAGGGCUUCCACUUUUGAAAUUCUUAUGAUUAUUUCCAUUCCCCUCCUACUCCAAGGUAUAAACUCGAAUUACAUACUCCUAAAUUGUAGUACAAAACAUCAUGAAUUCAUCGAUUAUAACCCUAGCGUUUAAUGAGAAUUUAUAACAUUCAAUAUAACUCUAAUUACUUGAGUUGAUGGAAAUGAUUAUGAAAUUACAAUAGUUUUCCAGUUUUGCUAUGUUAGAAUAUGGUGAUUGAAUAAGUUUUUGUGUUUCCAUGCCAUCUUGUUUUAACACGAAACAAACUAAAUUAAUAAUAGAUAAUUUCUAGUGCAUUUAUGCAUUGCAGUAUCACAGUAUGAGGGUGGUUUGAUUAUAUCUAGAAAUUUGUGGAUGAGAAAUUAAUGUUUGGGGAAAUAGUCAAAAACAUCAAAAUAAGAUUGACAUUGGUUAUGUUGCUGUCUUGCUGACAUCUUGAAGAACUCAUACAUGUAGAGGACUUCGCUUAUGAUAAUAUUUUAUGCAGGUAGAUAAUAAGAAUUGCGUUGGUUAUGGCGCUGACAUCUUCAUGAACUGUUUAACACGAUAACCUCUAUGCAUAUUCUAAGUGUGUAGGCAUCAAAAUGUAUUACCUAUAAUUGCCACAACAUAUAUAUUAUUUGUGUCUACAAAGAAAAGGAUAAGUGUGCACAAUCAUCAGACAAGUAUAGAUUGUCUGCCAUCAAGUUUAUUAAUUAUGUUGGAGUAUUGGACUGUAUACUAAAGAAUAAUAGAAAGGAAAUGAUGGAGCUUUUGCUAACUUAACUGGUAAAGUCUAUUGGACAUCUGCUGAAGCUGUCUGAUUGUAGUGACGAAGUGUUGCGAUUGCAUUCAAUGGUAGGGAUGAGGGCUGUGUUCAAUCUCAUGGCUGACAAUUUGUGCAGAAAUGGUAUCUCUUUCAGACAUCUUAUUCACCUCAUUGUCUAUCCCAGUAGAGAGUAGUGGCAACUUGUUGUCUUCUGUUGGAGCAAUCCAAUAUGGAUGAAAUGACACUCUUUGCGGAACCAAACCACUGAGGUUCACACAAAAAACUAGGAACAGUAGUGGUUCGGGUUGUAUUGUUUUUUUUUUGUUAUGGCAGUUUUUGUAUUAUAAACCAAAUUGCGCCUACCAUGUUUUAAACUUGUUAUCCUGUUCACCUCUAUCUCACAUACAACAGCCACUAAUAUAUCUUACUGAUAUACUUCACCUAGACUGAAUUACUAUUUUCCAUGAUAAAAAGAUUAUAUAAUAUUGUGUUAGCAAUUCCCUUUUGAUAAUAUUUAAUAAACAUUCUAUGUUUCUAUACACUGUCAGUGUGAUAAAAUUUACACAAGCGCUAACAAAAUUGCAACAACUCAUUAAAGUAAGGGCAUUUUUGUCCAAACUCCAAACAUAUGUUCAAUGAAUGGGCGUGUAAAUUGUCACAAUCCUGCUAUCCACUAGUAUUAAAUUCUCAUAGACAGUCAGUCUGUGUAUAUGAAUGACAAUAGUGAAUCAAUCGAUUUCUCUAUUGUCAGGAUGUAGGGUUUUCUGCAGAAAAACCAUGAAAUAGGGAUACUAUGGUGAGAUCUGAUGGUCAGCAUGCAUAUCAUCCUCUGUGUCUCAGUGAUUCAUUUAUAAUUUGUAUAUUAAGUAAAAUGGUUUGGCCGAGUUGGUGAAAGGACUUUAUUUCAAAUACCUAUAGCUUAAAAAGAUGACAACAUAAAUUAAGAUUGAAUUGCUGUAACCAAAAGAUUUAUUGCACUAGUUUCUCUUGAAUCUUGUACAGCUCAAAGUGAAGGAAAAUCCUGAUUGACUUAAAUAUCCAGGAUAGACCAUAGUAGACUGGAAAAUAAAUAAGACUCUUCUCAAUGAAGCAAGUCUGUGGAACUUAUGGUGGACUGGUUUGAGGAUUCGGUUCUGAGAUAAGCUGUGUUGCAAGGAACAUCGUCCAGGAUGCCAAAGUAUGGUAAGGACUAUGGAGCUGCAUAUCAGUGAGCAUUUGAUGAAGUUCUGACGUCUCUUCUUUAAGUUGGGCAUUCUCUUGAAGGACCUGAUCAUGGCGCUCAGAAACGUUGUUUAGUUUGUCUAUGAGUUGGUGAUUUUCAUUUCUGAGCCAAACUACCUGCGACCAAAGUUCAUCUAGGUGCUUUUGCUUGCGCAUACGUGAUCGACGUGCAGACUCUCUGUUGGAUAUCAUUCUCCUCUGCUUCCUCUCACUGAUGAGACUUAGUUGUUGCUCAUCUGCUUCGUCAGAAGUUGAGUUACUGCUGAAACAUGUUAGUUGUGGAUUGAAUUCUUGAACUUGAGAAUUUAUCUGAGGACGAUAUAAUGGGUUGGAGAGUCUGCUAAACUCAAAUGUGUGUGUAUUGUUCUGGGUGAAACCAAAAUGAGCAGGGUAUGAAGUUGGAUUAGGUGGAGCUAGAUAAUGAAGUUCAGUGACCUCACUAGACUGCAUGGUUGCAGGGAAUAGAUUUUUUGAGAGAAGGUAUAGUAGAAGAAGUUAGAUUGGAAGGCGGAGGAAAACUUGAGGUGAGGAGGUGUUUUAUAGGAUGGAAAUGGUAAAGCGGUCCCACUUUAUCAAUUCAGAUUAACAGUGGGUCUUUUUAAAGAUCAGACCAUUGCAAUAUGAUGUCAGUUGGCAUGUAUUUAUGCAGCAUAGCAUAUAUGUUCACAGGUAAACAUAACACAUAAGUCUAUAUAUAGGUGUUCUUUUGUCCUUUAUGGUCAUGUAAUGGUUAGAUGCCACAUGCUUGCAAUGAGACAUUAUCAAUGGCACUUGUGCUUACUUGGGAAAAAUAAGUUUUAUGGUAGAUAUAUUAUGGGAAUAAACAAUGCUGCAGAUAAGAGAGGCAGAGAGAGAGAUUAUCAGUAUCAUUUGUUCAUACAUGGUGAAAAUGAGUUGUACUGGAUUAAUUUUCAGAUCAAAUAGUGGCUGCAUGAGAGAGAGAUAGGGAGUUCAUAUUGGGAAGUAUAGUUCUUUAAAUGAGAGAAUACUUUUUGGAAGAGAAAAGAAAAUAAAAGGAAAUGAGGUUGGAGAAAUUAAUCUUAAAAGCGAUGUUUGCAGAGCCAAGCCAAUUAAGAUUGUUUUACUGUUAGAUGUUAUUUUCAACAACGCAUGGUGACGUAAAGGCAUAGGAGGAAGGAGGUUGGAGAAGGCAAGUCUUUUCUAUAAGUGGAAAAGAUUGUAUAAGAAAUUGAUGACUCCAUAAUCACUUUGAUGAGACCCCAACCAAAUAAAUUAUAGUAUACUUGAUCUCUCUUUAUAAUAUUAUGAUUAAUAGAAAUCACAUCUCUUACACUGUUAGGCACCAUAUUGCAACAUCAUGGUAGGGAGGGGUUUCUUAGUCAUCGUUGCAUUAAAAUAUGCAUAACAUGCUAAUGGCUACAUUUCCACACCCUUCUCUGGAAAAAUGACAGUAGCAUUUUCCACUGAUUGGUAAGUGGUAAAGUUGGAGUAAAGUUUUGAUGAGUUAUUUUACCAAGAUACAGCGUCACUUUAUUAGGAUAUGCUUGAAUUCAAUGAAAGAGACUUCUUUCUUCUGAUGUGGUGUUGAGAAGGCAAAGAAUAAAUGCCGCAACUAUAGGGAAAUCUGAAACUGCAUCCGUUCUUUAGGUUGUAAAAAAACUGUGUCACAUAUGAAAAAGAACAGACCUGUUUAGUGAUUCUCAGCAGAAUGCAUGAUCAUUAACUGCAUUGUUGAAUUAGAUAAUGAAAUUGUAGAGAAAUUAGUUAGUCAAUUUCUGGUUGAGUGGCCAAUUGUGAUCUAAAGAUGUUUGAUGUUUAACACAAUUCACAAAUAGACUAUUAGUUUCACAUGGAAAUUUAUCUCUAGGAUAUAAUAUAAAACUGUCUUCUUCUUUUGUAAGACAAUUGCUAAGAAGAUGAGCAAGUAAAGAGCUUUAAAAGAAAGGAAAAAGUUGAAGAAUAUACUUUAUAAGAAAGAACAGGGUCUAAAUUUUUAGUGCUUUGUUUAAAGCAUGAAAUCUUUUACAUUAUGGAAUGGGAUAUUUGUUGCAAUAAUUUCUUAAUCCUGAAGGUUGAGAUAAUCUAGUAGUGUUGAAACUCAUUUAUUUUUCCAUGUCUCAAUAGUUGUUCUUUGAGUUAAGCCACGUAUGUGUUAGUAAAGCUUUAUGGAGAGCUAGAUCAGAUAAGUCUGUUUAGUUUGAUCGUAUGGAUUAGGUUUUGUUCUGACCACAAAACUAACUACUGUUCAGGAAUUGGGAAAAAAAACUUGUUAAUAUGAUGGUGGGGAUUAGGAGGGAGGAGAUAUGGAUGUACUUUGAAAUGCAGUCUCCCACUAAUGAAAAGAACUUUAUAAUGCAGCCAGAAGCAGGACUCUAUGGAGGCAAAUGUUCUCUCCCUUCUUCUUGUUGGGCCAAGUUGAGUGGACUGGAUGGUCAACAAUACCAUUAGACAGAUUUGGCUCCUCUUUCUUUUCUCGUCUUUAAGUUGUUCUUUCUGUGUUCUCAUUAUAUUUUUUUGUUUGUGUUUUUUUAACGUUUUUCAAUAAAGAAGUCUGCAAAUAAAGUAUGAGAGUUUAGAGGUGCGGCUAAUGUAGUUGGAUACAUAUAUUGUUAAGUCCUUUUGUCUUGUAUACCUG